GACAGAGGCCUCAAGCGUUAGGCGGAAUCACUGGGCUUAAAGCGUGUGUAGGCGGGUCGUUAAGUACCUUGUGAAAUCCCACGGCUCACCCGUGGAACUGCUGGGUAUACUGGCGAUCUUGGGCCAUUCAGGGGCAACUGGAACAAGCGGUGGAGCGGUGAAAUGCGUAGAUAUCGCUUGGAACGCCAAAGGUGAAAACAGGUUGCUGGGAAUGUGACCG
rnacentral:rRNA from 1 species